rnacentral:lncRNA from 1 species
UCCCUUUGAUUUUCUUUCAUCCUCCAAAAAUCUCUCAAAUUUUCUUCGUUGUUGUGAAUUCUCGCUUUCAAAUUCAAGUAAAGUCUCUGUUCUUCGAUUUUUUUUAAAAUCUCUUUUUCUUUCUUCGUUUUAAUCUCUCCAUUCUACUUUGAAUUUUUGUUCUAAUAUCUUUGUUUUCUUCUUUUUGUCUGUGUUUUGAAUCUUUUGAUUCUUUUCGUAAUCAUUUUUCUUCGUUCCCAUACCUCUCUUUCCAAGUCUGAUGAGUUUCUCCGAUUCUUUUUCAUUUUUCUAUUUUUUUUGUCAUAAUUGAUUCUUCGUCAUCUUUUGUUUCUUUACUUAUGAAUUCAUUCACGGCUGACUCGAUUUUUCUUUCUUUCUUUUUUUUUUUUUGCAAAUUUUGGGGUCAAAUUUUAUUAAAGGUAUGUGCACUAUUUUUUUGAAGAUUUGAUUCUUCUUCUUCUUUUUUUUGGUUAUAAUUUGCUCAUCUAAUCUAUCAUGCGAUAUAUCGUUUUGAG